UACGUAGGGGGCAAGCGUUAUCCGGAUUUACUGGGUGUAAAGGGAGCGUAGACGGCCAUUCAAGCCAGAUGUGAAAGCCCGGGGCUCAACCCCGGGACUGCAUUUGGAACUGUAUGGCUGGAGUGUCGGAGAGGCAGGCGGAAUUCCUAGUGUAGCGGUGAAAUGCGUAGAUAUUAGGAGGAACACCAGUGGCGAAGGCGGCCUACUGGACGGUGACUGACGCUGAGGCUCGAAAGCGUGGGGAGCAAACAGG
rnacentral:rRNA from 1 species